AGCUUUGCACAGUGGCAGUAUCAUAGCCAAUGAAGUUUAUCCAAGGUGUGAUUAUUGCUAAUUGAAAAAUGGCAACACUCCCCAAACAGAUAUCACUUUAAUGUAAUGUCUGUCAGAAUCCUAUCUGGC
rnacentral:snRNA from 1 species